UCGUUAAUGGCGGGCCCUGCCCUAUUACUCGCAAGUCCGAGCGAACAGAUAAGGAGCUUGCUCCUUUGACGUUAGCGGCGGACGGGUGAGUAACACGUGGGUAACCUACCUAUAAGACUGGAAUAACUCCGGGAAACCGGGGCUAAUGCCGGAUAACAUAUAGAACCGCAUGGUUCUAUAGUGAAAGAUGGUUUUGCUAUCACUUAUAGAUGGACCCGCGCCGUAUUAGCUAGUUGGUAAGGUAAUGGCUUACCAAGGCGACGAUACGUAGCCGACCUGAGAGGGUGAUCGGCCACACUGGAACUGAGACACGGUCCAGACUCCUACGGGAGGCAGCAGUAGGGAAUCUUCCGCAAUGGGCGAAAGCCUGACGGAGCAACGCCGCGUGAGUGAUGAAGGGUUUCGGCUCGUAAAACUCUGUUAUUAGGGAAGAACAUAUGUGUAAGUAACUGUGCACAUCUUGACGGUACCUAAUCAGAAAGCCACGGCUAACUACGUGCCAGCAGCCGCGGUAAUACGUAGGUGGCAAGCGUUAUCCGGAAUUAUUGGGCGUAAAGCGCGCGUAGGCGGUUUCUUAAGUCUGAUGUGAAAGCCCACGGCUCAACCGUGGAGGGUCAUUGGAAACUGGGAAACUUGAGUGCAGAAGAGGAAAGUGGAAUUCCAUGUGUAGCGGUGAAAUGCGCAGAGAUAUGGAGGAACACCAGUGGCGAAAGCGACUUUCUGGUCUGUAACUGACGCUGAUGUGCGAAAGCGUGGGGAUCAAACAGGAUUAGAUACCCUGGUAGUCCACGCCCGUAAACGAUGAGUGCCUAAGUGUUACGGGGGUUUCCGCCCCCUUAGUGCUGCAGCUAACGCAUUAAGCACUCCGCCUGGGGGAGUACGACCGCAGGGUUGGAAACUCACAUGGAAUUGACGGGGACCCGACAAGGCGGUGGGAGCAUGUGGGUUUAAUUUCGAAGCAACGCGCAGAACCCUUACCAAAUCUUGACAUCCCUUUGAC
rnacentral:rRNA from 1 species